GACGAACGCUGGCGGCGUGCUUAACACAUGCAAGUCGAACGGAAAGGCCCUGCUUUUGUGGGGUGCUCGAGUGGCGAACGGGUGAGUAACACGUGAGUAACCUGCCCUUGACUUUGGGAUAACUUCAGGAAACUGGGGCUAAUACCGGAUAGGAGCUCCUGCUGCAUGGUGGGGGUUGGAAAGUUUCGGCGGUUGGGGAUGGACUCGCGGCUUAUCAGCUUGUUGGUGGGGUAGUGGCUUACCAAGGCUUUGACGGGUAGCCGGCCUGAGAGGGUGACCGGCCACAUUGGGACUGAGAUACGGCCCAGACUCCUACGGGAGGCAGCAGUGGGGAAUAUUGCACAAUGGGCGGAAGCCUGAUGCAGCAACGCCGCGUGCGGGAUGACGGCCUUCGGGUUGUAAACCGCUUUCGCCUGUGACGAAGCGUGAGUGACGGUAAUGGGUAAAGAAGCACCGGCUAACUACGUGCCAGCAGCCGCGGUGAUACGUGGGGUGCGAGCGUUGUCCGGAUUUAUUGGGCGUAAAGGGCUCGUAGGUGGUUGAUCGCGUCGGAAGUGUAAUCUUGGGGCUUAACCCUGAGCGUGCUUUCGAUACGGGUUGACUUGAGGAAGGUAGGGGAGAAUGGAAUUCCUGGUGGAGCGGUGGAAUGCGCAGAUAUCAGGAGGAACACCAGUGGCGAAGGCGGUUCUCUGGGCCUUUCCUGACGCUGAGGAGCGAAAGCGUGGGGAGCGAACAGGCUUAGAUACCCUGGUAGUCCACGCUGUAAACGGUGGGUACUAGGUGUGGGGUCCAUUCCACGGGUUCCGUGCCGUAGCUAACGCUUUAAGUACCCCGCCUGGGGAGUACGGCCGCAAGGCUAAAACUCAAAGGAAUUGACGGGGCCCCGCACAAGCGGCGGAGCAUGCGGAUUAAUUCGAUGCAACGCGUAGAACCUUACCUGGGUUUGACAUGGAUCGGGAGUGCUCAGAGAUGGGUGUGCCUCUUUUGGGGUCGGUUCACAGGUGGUGCAUGGCUGUCGUCAGCUCGUGUCGUGAGAUGUUGGGUUAAGUCCCGCAACGAGCGCAACCCUUGUUCACUGUUGCCAGCACGUUAUGGUGGGGACUCAGUGGAGACCGCCGGGGUCAACUCGGAGGAAGGUGGGGAUGACGUCAAGUCAUCAUGCCCCUUAUGUCCAGGGCUUCACGCAUGCUACAAUGGCUGGUACAGAGAGUGGCGAGCCUGUGAGGGUGAGCGAAUCUCGGAAAGCCGGUCUCAGUUCGGAUUGGGGUCUGCAACUCGACCUCAUGAAGUCGGAGUCGCUAGUAAUCGCAGAUCAGCAACGCUGCGGUGAAUACGUUCCCGGG
rnacentral:rRNA from 1 species